UCUCGGUAGCGUAAAAGUUAACUCAAAUUUGUAUGGAGUUGAAACGUUUGCUUACGUUUGCCGCAAGGGCGCUGUUCCAAUUGCUUACAAAUUAGGGUUGACUUCUACGCUAUCGA
rnacentral:pre_miRNA from 9 species